rnacentral:rRNA from 1 species
UUUUAUGGAGAGUUUGAUCCUGGCUCAGGAUGAACGCUGGCGGCGUGCCUAAUACAUGCAAGUCGAGCGAACGGACGAGAAGCUUGCUUCUCUGAUGUUAGCGGCGGACGGGUGAGUAACACGUGGAUAACCUACCUAUAAGACUGGGAUAACUUCUGGAAACCGGAGCUAAUACCGGAUAAUAUUUUGAACCGCAUGGUUCAAAAGUGAAAGACGGUCUUGCUGUCACUUAUAGAUGGAUCCGCGCUGCAUUAGCUAGUUGGUAAGGUAACGGCUUACCAAGGCAACGAUGCAUAGCCGACCUGAGAGGGUGAUCGGCCACACUGGAACUGAGACACGGUCCAGACUCCUACGGGAGGCAGCAGUAGGGAAUCUUCCGCAAUGGGCGAAAGCCUGACGGAGCAACGCCGCGUGAGUGAUGAAGGUCUUCGGAUCGUAAAACUCUGUUAUUAGGGAAGAACAUAUGUGUAAGUAACUGUGCACAUCUUGACGGUACCUAAUCAGAAAGCCACGGCUAACUACGUGCCAGCAGCCGCGGUAAUACGUAGGUGGCAAGCGUUAUCCGGAAUUAUUGGGCGU